UACGAAGGGUGCAAGCGUUACUCGGAAUUACUGGGCGUAAAGCGUGCGUAGGUGGUUUUUUAAGUCCGUUGUGAAAUCCCCGGGCUCAACCUGGGAAUGGCAAUGGAUACUGGCGGGCUAGAGUGUGUCAGAGGAUGGUGGAAUUCCCGGUGUAGCGGUGAAAUGCGUAGAGAUCGGGAGGAACAUCAGUGGCGAAGGCGGCCAUCUGGGACAACACUGACGCUGAAGCACGAAAGCGUGGGGAGCAAACAGG
rnacentral:rRNA from 1 species